UAUUAAUUUAUUAUUUUGGUAUUUUUCAUAUAAACAAGAUGAAGCAAUUGUCCCAGUUGGCAACUGUAUUUGUAACAGACCUUGAGAGUCACAACAAAUGGACGUUGUAGGACAGAGUGAUCAUGAUCGUUCUCUUUCAGCGGCACAUCGGCCGAUCAUGCAGCGUUCUGGUAGAGAGGAUGUAGUACAGCCAGUCAAACAGAGUUGGAACAGAAAUACACUGUCGAUGUUUCACACUUGGUCCGUUCUUCUUGAUAUGCUGCAUUAUAAGUACCACAAAAAGGUAGAGAAAACUCCAGCCGGCUGAAUCAAUUGCAAUUGAAAAGCAAUCACUGUGAACAAAGCCUUUGUACAUCCUGCCUAGACUUCAAACAUUAAAUAAGAUGUUCAUCAUGAAUACAACUUGAACUUGAAGUGUGUUUUUACUGCCAGCAAAACCAUGUGCGCUGUGUUUUUUUUAUUUUGAGCUUAUUAAAAGGUCCAUAUAUUGUG